UUACGGCCAUAUCCCGUUAAAACACCGGUUUUCGUACGAUCACCGAAGUUAAGCAAUAUCAUGCCUGGUCUGUACCUAGAUAGGUGACAGCUUAGGAAUACCAAUUGCUGUA